GGUCCCUAUCUGCCGUGGGCGUUGGAAGUUUGAGUGGACCUGCUCCUAGUACGAGAGGACCGGAGUGGACGCACCUCUGGUGUACCGGUUAUGACGCCAGUCGUAUUGCCGGGUAGCUAAGUGCGGAAGAGAUAACCGCUGAAAGCAUCUAAGCGGGAAACUCACCUCAAGAUAAGACUUCCCGAGGAUUUAAUCCUCCUAAAGGUUCGUCGAAGACUACGACGUUGAUAGGUCGGAUGUGGAAGCAUAGCAAUAUGUUAAGCUAACCGAUACUAAUUGACCGUGUGGCUUGAUCCUAUAA
rnacentral:rRNA from 1 species